UACGAAGGACCCGAGCGUUAUCCGGAUUUAUUGGGUUUAAAGGGUGCGUAGGCGGACUAGUAAGUCAGUGGUGAAAGCCCAUCGCUUAACGGUGGAACUGCCAUUGAUACUGCUAGUCUUGAGUAUGGUUGAGGUGGGCGGAAUGUGUCAUGUAGCGGUGAAAUGCUUAGAUAUGACCCAGAACACCAAUUGCGGAGGCAGCUCGCUAAGCCAUAACUGACGCUGAGGCACGAAAGCGUGGGGAGCAAACAGG
rnacentral:rRNA from 1 species